rnacentral:rRNA from 1 species
UACGUAGGGGGGCAAGCGUUGUCCGGAAUUACUGGGCGUAAAGAGCUCGUAGGUGGUUUGUCGCGUUGUUCGUGAAAACUCACAGCUUAACUGUGGGCGUGCGGGCGAUACGGGCAGACUGGAGUACUGCAGGGGAGACUGGAAUUCCUGGUGUAGCGGUGGAAUGCGCAGAUAUCAGGAGGAACACCGGUGGCGAAGGCGGGUCUCUGGGCAGUAACUGACGCUGAGGAGCGAAAGCGUGGGGAGCGAACAGG